rnacentral:rRNA from 1 species
ACACGGAGCUUGCUCUGUGGGAUCAGUGGCGAACGGGUGAGUAACACGUGAGCAACCUGCCCCUGACUCUGGGAUAAGCGCUGGAAACGGCGUCUAAUACUGGAUAUGUGACGUGAUCGCAUGGUCUGCGUCUGGAAAGAAUUUCGGUUGGGGAUGGGCUCGCGGCCUAUCAGCUUGUUGGUGAGGUAAUGGCUCACCAAGGCGUCGACGGGUAGCCGGCCUGAGAGGGUGACCGGCCACACUGGGACUGAGACACGGCCCAGACUCCUACGGGAGGCAGCAGUGGGGAAUAUUGCACAAUGGGCGCAAGCCUGAUGCAGCAACGCCGCGUGAGGGACGACGGCCUUCGGGUUGUAAACCUCUUUUAGCAGGGAAGAAGCGAAAGUGACGGUACCUGCAGAAAAAGCGCGGGCUAACUACGUGCCAGCAGCCGCGGUAAUACGUAGGGCGCAAGCGUUAUCCGGAAUUAUUGGGCGUAAAGAGCUCGUAGGCGGUUUGUCGCGUCUGCUGUGAAAUCCGGAGGCUCAACCUCCGGCCUGCAGUGGGUACGGGCAGACUAGAGUGCGGUAGGGGAGAUUGGAAUUCCUGGUGUAGCGGUGGAAUGCGCAGAUAUCAGGAGGAACACCGAUGGCGAAGGCAGAUCUCUGGGCCGAAACUGACGCUGAGGAGCGAAAGGGUGGGGAGCAAACAGGCUUAGAUACCCUGGUAGUCCACCCCGUAAACGUUGGGAACUAGUUGUGGGGUCCAUUCCACGGAUUCCGUGACGCAGCUAACGCAUUAAGUUCCCCGCCUGGGGAGUACGGCCGCAAGGCUAAAACUCAAAGGAAUUGACGGGGACCCGCACAAGCGGCGGAGCAUGCGGAUUAAUUCGAUGCAACGCGAAGAACCUUACCAAGGCUUGACAUAUACGAGAACGGGCCAGAAAUGGUCAACUCUUUGGACACUCGUAAACAGGUGGUGCAUGGUUGUCGUCAGCUCGUGUCGUGAGAUGUUGGGUUAAGUCCCGCAACGAGCGCAACCCUCGUUCUAUGUUGCCAGCACGUAAUGGUGGGAACUCAUGGGAUACUGCCGGGGUCAACUCGGAGGAAGGUGGGGAUGACGUCAAAUCAUCAUGCCCCUUAUGUCUUGGGCUUCACGCAUGCUACAAUGGCCGGUACAAAGGGCUGCAAUACCGUGAGGUGGAGCGAAUCCCAAAAAGCC